GUGAACGCUGGCGGUAGGCCUAACCCAUGCAAGUCGAACGGCAGCACAGUAAGCGCUUGCUCUUCCGGGUGGCGAGUGGCGGACGGGUGAGGAAUACAUCGGAAUCUACUUUUUCGUGGGGGAUAACGUAGGGAAACUUACGCUAAUACCGCAUACGACCUACGGGUGAAAGCAGGGGAUCUUCGGACCUUGCUCGCUUGAAUUAGCCGAUGUCGGAUUAGCUAGUUGGCGGGGUAAAGGCCCACCAAGGCGACGAUCCGUAGCUGGUCUGAGAGGAUGAUCAGCCACACUGGAACUGAGACACGGUCCAGACUCCUACGGGAGGCAGCAGUGGGGAAUAUUGGACAAUGGGCGCAAGCCUGAUCCAGCCAUACCGCGUGGGUGAAGAAGGCCUUCGGGUUGUAAAGCCCUUUUGUUGGGAAAGAAAAGCAGCAGGUUAAUACCCCGCUGUUCUGACGGUACCCAAAGAAUAGGCACCGGCUAACUUCGUG
rnacentral:rRNA from 1 species